AGCGAACGCUGGCGGCAGGCUUAACACAUGCAAGUCGAGCGGGCACUUCGGUGUCAGCGGCAGACGGGUGAGUAACACGUGGUAACGUACCCUUUGGUUCGGAAUAACGCUGUGUAACUAGCGCUAAUACCGGAUACGCCCUUUUGGGGAAAGGCUUGCUGCCGAAGGAUCGGCCCGCGUCUGAUUAGCUAGUUGGUGGGGUAAUGGCCUACCAAGGCGACGAUCAGUAGCUGGUCUGAGAGGAUGAUCAGCCACACUGGGACUGAGACACGGCCCAGACUCCUACGGGAGGGAGCAGUGGGGAAUAGUGGACAAUGGGGGCAAGCCUGAUCAAGCCAUGCCGCGUGAGUGAGGAAGGCCGUAGGGUUGUAAAGCUGUUUUGGACGGGACGAGAAUGACGGUAACGGAAGAAUAAGCCCCGGCUAACUUCGUG
rnacentral:rRNA from 1 species